rnacentral:rRNA from 1 species
GAUGAACGCUGGCGGCGUGCCUAAUACAUGCAAGUCGAGCGAACAGACGAGGAGCUUGCUCCUCUGACGUUAGCGGCGGACGGGUGAGUAACACGUGGAUAACCUACCUAUAAGACUGGGAUAACUUCGGGAAACCGGAGCUAAUACCGGAUAACAUGUUGAACCGCAUGGUUUAACAGUGAAAGACGGUCUUGCUGUCACUUAUAGAUGGAUCCGCGCCGCAUUAGCUAGUUGGUAAGGUAACGGCUUACCAAGGCAACGAUGCGUAGCCGACCUGAGAGGGUGAUCGGCCACACUGGAACUGAGACACGGUCCAGACUCCUACGGGAGGCAGCAGUAGGGAAUCUUCCGCAAUGGGCGAAAGCCUGACGGGGCAACGCCGCGUGAGUGAAGAAGGUCUUCGGAUCGUAAAACUCUGUUAUUAGGGAAGAACAAAUGUGUAAGUAACUAUGCACGUCUUGACGGUACCUAAUCAGAAAGCCACGGCUAACUACGUU